CGGGAACUCUGACACAGGUGCUGCAUGGCUGUCGUCAGCUCGUGCGUUGAGAUGUUGGGUUAAGUCCCGUAACGAGCGCAACCCUUGUCCUUAGUUACCAGCACGUUAUGGUGGGCACUCUAAGGAGACUGCCGGUGACAAACCGGAGGAAGGUGGGGAUGACGUCAAGUCAUCAUGGCCCUUACGGCCUGGGCUACACACGUGCUACAAUGGUCGGUACAAAGGGUUGCCAAGCCGCGAGGUGGAGCUAAUCCCAUAAAACCGAUCGUAGUCCGGAUCGCAGUCUGCAACUCGACUGCGUGAAGUCGGAAUCGCUAGUAAUCGUGAAUCAGAAUGUCACGGUGAAUACGUUCCCGGGCCUU
rnacentral:rRNA from 1 species